rnacentral:rRNA from 1 species
AUUGAACGCUGGCGGCAGGCCUAACACAUGCAAGUCGAGCGGGGUUUUCGGACCUAGCGGCGGACGGGUGAGUAAUGCGUAGGAAGCUACCCGAUAGAGGGGGAUACCAGUUGGAAACGACUGUUAAUACCGCAUAAUGUCUACGGACCAAAGUGUGGGACCUUCGGGCCACAUGCUAUCGGAUGCGCCUACGUGGGAUUAGCUAGUUAGUGGGGUAAUGGCUCACCAAGGCGACGAUCCCUAGCUGGUUUGAGAGGAUGAUCAGCCACACUGGAACUGAGACGAGGUCCAGACUCCGACGGGAGGCAGCAGUGGGGAGUAUUGGACAAUGGGCGCAAGCCUGAUCCAGCCAUGCCGCGUGUGUGAAGAAGGCCUUCGGGUUGUAAAGCACUUUCAGUAGGGAGGAAGAGUUGAGUGUUAAUAGUACUCAGCUUUGACGUUACCUACAGAAGAAGCACCGGCUAACUCUGUGCCAGCCGCCGCCGUAAAAC